CAGGACGAACGCUGGCGGCGUGCCUAACACAUGCAAGUCGAACGGAUGAAGGGAGCUUGCUCCCUGAGUUAGUGGCGAACGGGUGAGUAACGCGUGAGCAACCUGCCUUUCAGAGGGGGACAACGGUUGGAAACGACCGCUAAUACCGCAUGAAACAGUCGGACCGCAUGAUCUGACUGUCAAAGAUUUAUCGCUGAAAGAUGGGCUCGCGUCUGAUUAGAUAGUUGGUGGGGUAACGGCCUACCAAGUCGACGAUCAGUAGCCGGACUGAGAGGUUGAACGGCCACAUUGGGACUGAGAUACGGCCCAGACUCCUACGGGAGGCAGCAGUGGGGAAUAUUUGGGCAAUGGGGGAAACCCUGACCCAGCAACGCCGCGUGAAGGAAGAAGGCUUUCGGGUUGUAAACUUCUUUUACCGAGGACGAAGAACGUGACGGUACUCGGAGAAAAAGCCACGGCUAACUACGUGCCAGCCGCAGC
rnacentral:rRNA from 1 species